CCUACGGGCGGCAGCAGUGGGGAAUAUUGGACAAUGGGGGCAACCCUGAUCCAGCCAUGCCGCGUGUGUGAAGAAGGCCCUCGGGUUGUAAAGCACUUUCAGUGAGGAAGAACGCCUGGUGGUUAAUACCCAUCAGGAAAGACAUCACUCACAGAAGAAGCACCGGCUAACUCCGUGCCAGCAGCCGCGGUAAUACGGAGGGUGCGAGCGUUAAUCGGAAUUACUGGGCGUAAAGCGCGCGUAGGUGGCUUGAUAAGCCGGUUGUGAAAGCCCCGGGCUCAACCUGGGAACGGCAUCCGGAACUGUCAAGCUAGAGUGCAGGAGAGGAAGGUAGAAUUCCCGGUGUAGCGGUGAAAUGCGUAGAGGUCGGGAGGAAUACCAGUGGCGAAGGCGGCCUUCUGGACUGACACUGACACUGAGGUGCGAAAGCGUGGGUAGCAAACAGGAUUAGAUACCCUUGUAGUC
rnacentral:rRNA from 1 species